GAAAUGCGAUAAGUAAUGCGAAUUGCAGAAUUCAGUGAAUCAUCGAAUCUUUGAACGCACAUUGCGCCCGCCAGUAUUCUGGCGGGCAUGCCUGUCCGAGCGUCAUUUCAACCAUCAAGCCCCCGGGCUUGUGUUGGGGACCUGCGGCUGCCCGCAGGCCCUGAAAACCAGUGGCGGGCUCGCUGUCACACCGAGCGUAGUAGCAAUCACCUCGCUCAGGGCGUGCUGCGGGUUCCGGCCGUUAAACAGCCUUACAAAACCCAAGGUUGACCUCGGAUCAGGUAGGAAGACCCGCUGAACUUAAGC
rnacentral:misc_RNA from 1 species